CGGACGGGUGAGUAAUGUCUGGGAAACUGCCUGAUGGAGGGGGAUAACUACUGGAAACGGUAGCUAAUACCGCAUAACGUCGCAAGACCAAGAGGGGACCUUCGGGCCUCUUGCCAUCGGAUGUGCCCAGAUGGGAUUAGCUAGUAGGUGGGGUAACGGCUCACCUAGGCGACGAUCCCUAGCUGGUCUGAGAGGAUGACCAGCCACACUGGAACUGAGACACGGUCCAG
rnacentral:rRNA from 1 species